GAUGAACGCUGGCGGCGUGCCUAAUACAUGCAAGUCGAGCGAAGCGGGGACGGGUGCGUAACACGUGGAUAACCUCCUAUAAGACUGGGAUAACUUCGGGAAACCGUAGCUAACCCGGCUAAUUAUAUAUGGCUCCGCGUUACAUUAGCUAGUUUGUAAGGUAAAGGCUUAGCAAGGCAACGAUGCAUAGCCGACCUGAGAGGUGGAUCGGCCACACUGGAACUGAGACACGGCCCAGACUCCUACGGGAGGCAGCAGUAGGGAAUCUUCCGCAAUGGGCGAAAGCCUGACCGAGCAACGCCGCGUGAGUGAUGAAGGUCUUCGGAUCGUAAAACUCUGUUAUUAGGGAAGCGGUACCUAAUCAGAAAGCCACGGCUAACUACGUGCCAGCAGCCGCGGUAAUUC
rnacentral:rRNA from 1 species